CGUGUAGGCGGUCCGCUAAGUCUGAUGUGAAAGCCCGGGGCUCACCCCCGGAAGUGCAUUGGAAACUGGCGGACUCGAGUCCCGGAGAGGAGGGUGGAAUUCCUGGUGUAGCGGUUAAAUGCGUAGAUAUCAGGAGGAACACCGGUGGCGAAGGCGGCCCUCUGGACGGUGACUGACGCUGAGACGCGAAAGCGUGGGGAGCAAACA
rnacentral:rRNA from 1 species